rnacentral:rRNA from 1 species
UGCAGUCGACGAUGAACCUCCUUCGGGAGGGGAUUAGUGGCGAACGGGUGAGUAACACGUGGGCAAUCUGCCCUGCACUCUGGGACAAGCCCUGGAAACGGGGUCUAAUACCGGAUAUGACUCGGGAGGGCAUCCUUCCGGGUGGAAAGCUCCGGCGGUGCAGGAUGAGCCCGCGGCCUAUCAGCUUGUUGGUGGGGUGAUGGCCUACCAAGGCGACGACGGGUAGCCGGCCUGAGAGGGCGACCGGCCACACUGGGACUGAGACACGGCCCAGACUCCUACGGGAGGCAGCAGUGGGGAAUAUUGCACAAUGGGCGAAAGCCUGAUGCAGCGACGCCGCGUGAGGGAUGACGGCCUUCGGGUUGUAAACCUCUUUCAGCAGGGAAGAAGCGCAAGUGACGGUACCUGCAGAAGAAGCGCCGGCUAACUACGUGCCAGCAGCCGCGGUAAUACGUAGGGCGCAAGCGUUGUCCGGAAUUAUUGGGCGUAAAGAGCUCGUAGGCGGCUUGUCGCGUCGGAUGUGAAAGCUCGGGGCUUAACCCCGGGUCUGCAUUCGAUACGGGCAGGCUAGAGUGUGGUAGGGGAGAUCGGAAUUCCUGGUGUAGCGGUGAAAUGCGCAGAUAUCAGGAGGAACACCGGUGGCGAAGGCGGAUCUCUGGGCCAUUACUGACGCUGAGGAGCGAAAGCGUGGGGAGCGAACAGGAUUAGAUACCCUGGUAGUCCACGCCGUAAACGUUGGGAACUAGGUGUUGGCGACAUUCCACGUCGUCGGUGCCGCAG